GAUGAGAAAGGCUUGACGUUUAUCAUGCUUUGUUACCUCCAUCCAGGCUCCUACUCACAGCUCCAAUUGGCCUCAUUAUUCUCUUUCAGAUAACUUCUCGUUUCCCAGCUUGGUACCCUGCUAGCCCCAGCUGUGGCGUGUGCUCGACCAGCGUCAGGGGGGGCCGCUACCUCCGCUCCCUGCAAAGCAGGAUUUCCAGGGCAGCAGGACCUCCACAAUUUCUACUUGUCUGUGGGCUGUGUCACCAACAAGAGCAGGACUUUGGCCAGAUAAAGAACCAGGCCUUCCAUGAGUCUGUUUAAAACUGAAGUUAUAUGUUUGAGGGUGUCCCUUUCUCUUGAAAAUAAACUACACUUAACACAAAUUGCAUCUUGAACACACAACGCUCUCCGUUGUUUCUACUCUUUUGCCUGGGGACAGCCACUCCGUAAGGUGUCCUCAUGCUCUUUCCUUCGCCCUGGGAGCUCUCACCCAUAUCUCAAGUCUUGAACGGCCUCCUGUAGCACCUGCCCUAGUUCUGGGACCUCACCCUGCUCACUGGGUAUUUUGCAGCGUAAGGGGAGGAACUGUAGCAAUUUAGGAACUGGAGAGAGCAAUUUCCCUGCAGAUGUCCAGCCUAAGGAGCAGCGGUUGGGGAGCAAACAGCGCUGAGCCCCCAGCUUGCUACACAGGAGAAAGUCUAGACAGAGGAUUGAAUGCAAGUGGAUUUAAGGACUGCUUAGUAAAAGAGAAAUAAAUUAAAGAUACUCUUGUCUCCUUUGAAGAUCUAAACAGUCUCCUACAAAGGAGGAUAUCUGAGAUGUCUGACUGAGUCAUCUUACAUCAGUUCUUGGUAUACCUCCAUAAUCUUGAAAGCUGGAGUCUGAAGAGCUCGAAAUGAUUCAUAAGGAAAUGAGGAGUGGCAACAUACAACUGGUUUUAAGAUUAAAAAGGCAUCGAAAGCAAGCGAGGAUCUCCAUGGCAAAGACGGCCAGAGCUUUUCAAGUCUCUAGUGCCUGCUGCUGCGAGAGCGACGGGGAGCCUGCGAAAGCCGCAGGCACGCAAGCCGACCGGACUGGCGCCUUUCCCUUCGCGCCCGCUCUGCUGCGUGCAACGCGCGCUCCAAAGUGCUGAGGGCGAUUUUCAAACCACAGUCUUUAUACUGCGCGCUUGCGUUUUUGUACAUUAUAGUCAAACAAGCGAUUGACUGAAAUACUCGCUGAAAGCUCACAAAAGUCACAGGACGUGUACGUAAGUGCUUUGCCCCCCCAAACCCCAACGCCAGCCCCAAGCUAAACAAGCACCGAGGGAGGACGCAGGAUUUUCUCUUCCAUAUCAGCUUGCUAAAGUCUG
rnacentral:lncRNA from 1 species